UGGUGAAAAACUUCCCAAAGCACAUGGU
rnacentral:piRNA from 1 species